CCAGACUCCUACGGGAGGCAGCAGUGAGGAAUAUUGGUCAAUGGCCGAGAGGCUGAACCAGCCAAGUCGCGUGAGGGAAGAAUGUCCUAUGGAUUGUAAACCUCUUUUGUCAGGGAGCAAAGUCACCCACGUGUGGGUGUUAGAGAGUACCUGAAGAAAAAGCAUCGGCUAACUCCGUGCCAGCAGCCGCGGUAAUACGGAGGAUGCGAGCGUUAUCCGGAUUUAUUGGGUGUAAAGGGUGCGUAGACGGGAAAUUAAGUUAGUUGUGAAAUCCCUCGGCUCAACUGAGGAACUGCAACUAAAACUGGUUUUCUUGAGUGUUGGAGAGGAAAGCGGAAUUCCUAGUGUAGCGGUGAAAUGCGUAGAUAUUAGGAGGAACACCAGUGGCGAAGGCGGCUUUCUGGACAAUAACUGACGUUGAGGCUCGAAAGCGUGGGGAGCAAACAGGAUUAGAUACCCGCGUA
rnacentral:rRNA from 1 species